AUUGAACGCUGGCGGCAGGCUUAACACAUGCAAGUCGAGCGGGGUGAUGGUGCUCGCACUAUCACUUAGCGGCGGACGGGUGAGUAAUGCUUAGGAAUCUGCCUAUUAGUGGGGGACAACAUCUCGAAAGGGAUGCUAAUACCGCAUACGUCCUACGGGAGAAAGCAGGGGAUCACUUGUGACCUUGCGCUAAUAGAUGAGCCUAAGUCGGAUUAGCUAGUUGGUGGGGUAAAGGCCUACCAAGGCGACGAUCUGUAGCGGGUCUGAGAGGAUGAUCCGCCACACUGGGACUGAGACACGGCCCAGACUCCUACGGGAGGUAGCAGUGGGGAAUAUUGGACAAUGGGGGGAACCCUGAUCCAGCCAUGCUGCGUGUGUGAAGAAGGCCUUAUGGUUGUAAAGCACUUUAAGCGAGGAGGAGGCUCUUUUGGUUAAUACCCAAGAUGAGUGGACGUUACUCGCAGAAUAAGCACCGGCUAACUCUGUGCCAGCCGCCGCCGUAA
rnacentral:rRNA from 1 species